rnacentral:lncRNA from 1 species
GUAUGGGUUUUAUUGGGUUAGCAGGUUAUUAUCGUCGAUUUGUAGAGGAUUUUUCCAAAAUUGCUCUUCCUUUGAUUAGUUUGACUCAAAGGAACUCCAAAUUUGUGUGGACUGAUGAAUGUGAACAGAGUUUUCAAGAGUUGAAGAAAAGAUUAGUUUAUGCUCCUAUACUUACUCUUCCAUCUCCAGGUAAAGAGUUUGUGAUUUAUAGUGAUGCUUCACGCCAAGGAUUGGGUUGUAUUCUAAUGCAGAAUGGGAAAGUUGUAGCUUAUGCUUCUAGACAAUUGAAGAAGCAUGAGUUAAAUUACCCAACUCAUGAUUUGGAGUUAGCUGUAGUAGUGUUGACAUUAAAGAUCUGGAGACAUUAUCUUUAUGGUGAGAAAUGUCAAAUAUUUACUGAUCACAAAAGUUUAAAGUAUAUAUUUGAUCAGAAAGAACUGAAUCUAAGGCAAAGGAGAUGGCUGGAGUUGAUAAAGGAUUAUGAUUGUAAGAUUGACUACCAUCCGGGGAAAGCAAAUGUAGUUGCAGAUGCUCUCAGUAGAAAGACAAGUUCAUACUCUCCAUCUAGUGCAGCUUAUGCUUCUUUGAUUUGUGAGUUCAAGAGGUUACACACUGAGUUGACAACUACUACUUCAGGGCGGUAUUAGCUCAUUUUCAGGUGAGGCCUACUUUGAUUGAUGAGGUUGGAGAAGCUCAAUCUCAAGACCAGACAUUGAGAAUAUUGAAAGCAGAAGUUAGUACUGGGUUAAGAACGAAUUAUGUGAUUAGAGAUGAUGGGGCGUUGGAUAGGGGUAAUAGAUUAUAUGUUCCAGAUAUUUCAGAAUUGAAGAAAGAGAUUUUGGAAGAAGCACACAGUUCUACUUAUGGUAUGCAUCUAGGCAGUAUUAAAAUGUAUCAUACAUUGAAAGAUCAUUAUUGGUGGCUUGGUAUGAAGAGAGAGAUAGCAGAUUUUGUAUCGAAAUGUCUUAUAUGUCAACAGGUAAAGCCAGUUCGUCUAAAAACAGCAGGACUUUUACAGCCAUUGCCUAUCCCAAAAUAGAAAUGGGAACACAUUACUAUGGACUUUUUAUUUGGCCUUUCUCGUAUUCAGAAUGGUCAUGAUAGAGUUUGGGUUAUCGUAGAUUGUUUGACCAAGAUGGCCAAAUUUUUGCCAAUCAAAGCUACUUAUACUUUAAAUAAGUUGGCAAAGUUGUAUGUGGAUGAGAUAGUGAGCUCUUAUGGUACUCCAUUAUCUAUUGUGUCAGAUAGAGACCCUCGUUUUACAUAUAAAAUUUGGCCCAGUUUGUAGGAAGCCAUGUGUACUAAACUACAUUUCAGUACAGCUUUUCAUUCUCAAACAGAUGACUAGUCAGAGGACCAUACAGACUCUUGAGGAUAUGUUGAGGGUUUGUGUUUUAGAGCUCAAGGGUAGCUGGGAUACUCAUUUGUCAUUAAUGGAGUUUGCUUACAAUAACAACUACCAAUCUAGUAUAGAAUGGCUCUUUUUGAAGCUUUAUAUGGUAGGAAGUGCAGGACACCAGUUUGUUGGGAUGAAGCUGGUAAGAGGAAGUUAGAAGGCUUGAAAUUGGUUCAAAUGACGUCCGAAAAUGUGAAAUUGAUCAAAGAAAAGUUGAAUGCAACUCAAGAGAGAUAGAAAAGUUAUGCUGAUAGUCGCAGGAAAGAUUUUGAAUUUGUAGUUGGAGAUAAAGUCUUUCUUGUAUUGUCACCUUCGAAAGGGGUGUUGAGAUUUGACAAGCGAGGAAAGUUGAGUUCACGAUACAUUGGACCCUAUGAGAUUACUGAAAGGAUUGGCCCAGUUGCAUACCGAUUAGAUCUGCCCGAUGAGUUAUCCCGAAUCCAUGAUCUUUUUCAUGUUUCCAUACUUCGCAAGUACAUUGCUGAUCCUUCUCAUGUUUUGGAGUCUUAGCCAAUCCAAUUGAAGGAAAAUUUAACAUAUAUAGAAGAGCCCGUGAGAAUUUUAAACAAAAUGGUACAAAUUCAACGAAACCAGACAGUUUCACUUGUUAAGGUACUUUGGCAGAAUCAAACAGUAGAAGAGGCUACAUGGGAGAAUGAGGAUCAGAUGCGUGCUCAAUAUCCUCAUUUAUUCAUUACCCAUUCAAUUGCCAGUUGAAUUUCGAGGACGAAAUUCUUUUAAAGAGGUAAGAUUGUUACAAUCCACAUUUUUAUCUAGUCAAAGUCAAUAGUGGAAUUUUCAAAGUCAAGUCAAAUUAGGACUUGAAUAAAAUAAAUCAUUUUUAUUGGGACUUGAUUGACCAAAUCAUUUUAUUUGGGUUUAUCUUAUAAAUUAUAAAUAUUUUGAAGGUCUUGCCUUGGACAAAAUAAAAAAUAAAAAAAUUGGGAUUUAUUUAUAUAUUUUUCGAAGUUGAGGAUUUACUUAUAUGUUGUAAUUAGAUUUAAGGGACUUUCUUUGCAAAUUGAACAUGUGGGACUUUAAAAUUCAACCUUUGACCAUUCUUUUUCUCCCAAAACCCACCCCUAUACACACAGUAACGCGAGAGAAGCAGAGACUGUGAGAGAAGAAAGAAAAAGGAAAAGAAGAAAGGAAAAAGGAAAAGAAAAAGGAAGGAAAAAAAAGGGAAGAAGAAAAGAGGUAAGGCUAAUCUCUUCAAGUUGGGAUGUAAUUUAUCCAUUGUUCCAAGUGAUAAAGGUGUGAUUUAUGUUAAAUUUUUAGGAUUUUAACUUGUAAUAAUAAAAUGUCAAAUUUAGGUGAUAUAUGUACGAUUUGGAGCUCAAGCUUGGGGAUUAAUUAGGUUCCAGUUUCAGCAAGGUAGGCAGUAAAAUUUUUGGGGAAACCCUAGAACUCGAUUUCGGAUUUUUGAUUAAUUAAUUGUGGAAAUUAUUAUAUAAAUGGAAUAUUUCACUUGGGAGUUGAUUAUAUGGAACAAAAUAUAUAUUAAAUGGGUGGAAUUAUGGUUGCUAGUUUCACUAAAUCGAGUGUAAAAUUAGUUUUAAACUUGGGAAGUAUUAUAAAAUGAGAGGAAAAGAGAAUAGAGAAAAUUCAAUAAACUUUUUGUGUGUAUUAUUGAAAAUCAAAGCCCUAUAUUUAUAGGUAAGAAUCAGGGAUAUAACGGUAAUAAUUUCUAGGGCUACAGGGAUACAAAUGUCAUCCACCAAUAAACUUUAAUAGACUUUCCAUUUACAACACUCCCCCUUGAAUGACAUAUUACAAAAUAUCUGCCUCGUUAAAACCUUGUUUGAUAAAAAUUCAAUGAAAAAAAAAAUCAAACGAAGGAAAAAUAGUACAGUUAUUUUGGAGUAUUAAAAUUAAAUGCUACCUCAUUAAAAUCUUGUUAGGAAAACCCAAUGGGACAAAACCUAAGCGAAGGAAAAAGAGAACAGCUACUCCCCCUGAUGUUGAUCACUGAAAAUCUUUGAGUCGAUGCAUUCCAAUCUCAUGAACUAAUUUCUUGAAUGUAGAUAUUGGCAGCGCUUUUGUGAAUAGAUCAGCCACAUUGUCACUUGAGCGAAUUUGUUGAAUAUCAAUGUCACCAUUCUUCUAAAGUUCAUGUGUAUGAAAGAAUUUUGGAGAAAUAUGCUUCGUCCUGUCGCCUUUGAUAUAGCCUCCCUUGAAUUGUGCGAUACAAGCUGCAUUAUCUUCAAACAAAAUUGUUGGAUUAUCUUUUGUUGAAGUCAAUCCACAUGAUGAUUGGAUAUGAUGGGUCAUAUUCCUCAACCAUACACAUUCUCGCCCUACUUCAUGGAUUGCAAUAAUCUCAGAAUGAUUUGAAGAUGUUGCUGUCAAGGAUUGCUUCAUAGAUCUCCAUGAUAUAGCCGUUCCUCCACGUGUAAACACAUAUCCUGUUUGUGAUUUAGCUUUAUGUGGAUCAGAGAGAUAACCUGCAUCUGCAUAUCCCACUAAAGCAGAUCCUAACUUUUGAGAAUAAAACAGUCCCAUAUCAAUAGCACCUUUUAGGUAACGAAAAAUAUGUUUAACACCAUUCCAAUGCUUUUGAGUUGGUGUAGAGCUAUAUCUUGCAAGGAGAUUUACAGAAAAAGCUAUGUCAGGUCGAGUGAAAUUUGCAAGAUAAGUUAAUGCUCCAAUUGCACUAAUUUAUGGUACUUCAGGACCAAGAAUCUUUUCUCCAUCUUCAAGUGGACGAAAUGAAUCUUUUUUCACAUCAAGUGAUCGAACAACCAUAAGUGAUGGCAAUGGAUGUGCAUUAUCCAUAUAAAAGCGUUUCAAGACUUUUUCUAUAUAAGUAGAUUGAUGAACAAAUAAUCCCUCUGGAAAAUGUUCAAUUUGUAAUCCAAGACAAAAUUUGGUUUUUCCCAAAUCUUUCAUCUCAAAUUCAUUUCUCAAAUAAUUUGCAGUUUUGUUGAGCUCUUUAGGAGUUUCAAUUAAAUUUAAAUCAUCAACAUAAACUGCCACAAUUGCAAAGCUAAUAUUUGUUUUCUUUAUGAAAACACAUGGGCAGAUAUCGUCAUUUUUAUAACCCUCUUUCAACAAAUAUUCGCUAAGGCGAUUAUACCACAUGCGUUCGGAUUGUUUCAAUCCAUAUAAUGAUUUUUGCAAUUUAAUCGAGAACAUAGUUCUCGGACAUGCAUCAUUUAUUCUCGGCACCUUAAAUCCUUCAGGGACUUUCAUAUAUAUAUAUAUAUAUAUAUAUAUAUGUCACUGUCAAGUGAACUAUAUAGGUAGGCAGUUACUACAUCCAUGAGGCGCAUAUCAAGCCCUUGUGACAAGGUCAAACUAAUUAAGAGUCUAAAAGUGAUGGUAUCCAUUAUGAGAGAAUAUGUUUCCUCAUAAUCAAUUCCCGGUCUUUGGGAGAAAUCUUGAGUCACUAGUCGGGCUUUGUAUCUUGUAAUUUCAUUAUUCUCAUUUCUCUUUCGUACAAAAAUCCAUUUGUAUCCAACAUGGAUUACAUUUUCAGGUGUUCGAAGUACUAGUCCAAACACUUUUCGUUUCUCCAAAGAAUUCAAUUCUGCCUAUAUGGCUUCUUUCCAUUUUGUCCAAUCAUUUCUAUUUUGACAGUCAUUAACAGACUGUGGUUCAAGAUCCUCAUUUUGCAUAAUAUCAAGAGCCAUGUUAAAGACGAAAAUAUUGUCUAUAAUAAUAUUAUUCCGUUCCCAUAAUUUAUGAGAUAUCAUAUAAUUUAUUGAGAUCUCAUUAUUUUUAGACACUUCUAGUUCUUUAGGAACCGUACAUUCAAUAUUUGAUUGAUCAAUCUUUUCUAAUAUGAUUUCUUCUGAAGUUUUUGGUUGGUUUUUCUCCUGUACUCUUCUUUUUCGAGGUACAGAGUCUUUUGAACCAACUGGUCGACCACGCUUCUGGCGUAUUUGAGAUUCAUUUGCCACAGUAGAUUGUCCUGCAGGGACAUUAAUUUUUGCUGAAAUAUUUUCUGUUGGAAUAUAUGACUUUGUCACUUUUCUCGUGUCAACAAAUACAUUAGGUAGUUGAAUUGCAACUCUUUGCAAAUGAACGAUUUUUUCAACCUCUUGUUCACAUUGAUUGCUGCGGGGAUCAAAGUGAGAUAGAGUUGUCUCAUUCCAAGAAAUUCUAUCUUGUUUUUUAGGAUGUAGUUUUUCUCCUCCCAAAGUUGGGAAAGUCAUUUAAUCAAAAUGACAAUCUACAAAACGUGCAGUAAAUAAGUCACCCGUUAAAGGUUCAAAAUAUUUAAUAAUAGAUGGUGAAUCAAAACCCACAUAAAUCCCAAGUCUUCAUUGGGGACCCAUUUUAGUACGUUGUGGGGGAUGAAAUAGGAAAUUGGACAGCACAACCAAAAACUCGUAGGUGAGAAAUAUCAGGUUCAUAACCAAAUGCAAGUUGCGAAGGUGAAUAUUGAUGAUAGACAGUUGGUCUUAUACGAACCAAUGAUGCAGCAUGUAAUAUGACAUGACCCCAAACAGAAGUUGGGAGUUUUAUUUUCAUAAGUAAUGGUCUAGCAAUAAGUUGUAGACGUUUAAUAAACGAUUUCGCUAAACCAUUUUGUGUAUGAACAUGUGCAACUGAAUGUUCAAUUUCAAUCCCAAUUGACAUACAAUAAUCAUCAAAUGCUUGUGAUAUAAAUUCACCAGCAUUGUCAAGACGAAUAGUCUUGAUUGAGUAAUUGGGAAAUUGUGCUCGCAAUUUUAUGAUUUGAGCAAAUAGUCUAGCAAAUGCUACAUUCCUAGUUGAAAGUAGGCAAACAUGUGACCAUCUUGUAGAAGAAUCAAUUAAUACCAUAAAGUAAUGAAAUGGUCCAUAUGGUGGGUGUAUUGGCCCACAUAUAUCUCCAUGUAUUCUUUUCAAGAGAGUUGGAGAUUCAAUAUUGACCUUUGUAGUUGAAGGUCUAAUGACUAACUUGCCUUGCGAACAAGUUACACAUGGAUAAUAAUUAGAUAAAAGAAUCUUCUGGUUCUUUAAAGGAUGUUCAUGUGAGUUGUUUAUUAUUCGACGCAUCAUUAUGGCUCCUGGAUGUCCAAGUCGAUCAUGCCAAAGUAUAAAAUUUUUUGAAUCAACGAACUUCUGGUUCGUAACAGUAUUUGAUUCGACCAUUUUUAUAAAUGUAAAAUACAUGACAGAUGGGAGUGCAUGAAAUUUUUCUUUUAUUUGCUUCUUGCGAGAUACAAAAGAAGUAAUGCAAAGAUAUUCAACAUUAUUUUCUUGCAUCGUCUCAAUGUGAUAUUCAUUACAGCGAAUAUCUUUAAAAUUAAGCAAAUUUCUUUUGGAUUUGCUAGAAUAAAGUUCAUCAUCAAUAUAUAAUUUUGUAUUAUUUGGUAAAAUAAUACAAGCUCUUUCGAAGCCUUUAACGAUAUUCGACGCAGCCGAUAUCGUGUUAACAUUAUUUUCAGCUAAUAUUAAGUCCAAAAAGUAUUUUUUAUCUUGAAUAAUAGUAUGCACUAUCAAUUAAGCAGCUAUCUUGACUAUCCAUCAUGAAUCUAGAUAAAAAAUAACAAAAUAAACAAAAUAACAAAAUAAACAAAAUAAAAAAAAACUUGAAUUUAGAUUUAAAGAAGUAAACAUUAAUUAAUAUCAUGAAAUAAACGGUGCAUAAUAGAGUUUUUUUUUGUGCGGUAAAGUAAAAACAUAUUUCAGACUGAAUUUUUAAAAUAAAAGAAAUACUAGUAAAUUAAUCUAUAUCUUCUAUCACACCACCCCCAACCAAAUGGUCAAUAUUUCUAGUUGGAUCAAUAAAGAAAUCUGAGCUAUCCAAAUGAGUCACAUCAAUUAGACCAUCAUAAUCAGCAAAAUUAGUCUCAAAAUUUUCUUUUCCCUUGAUUGAUCUCUGGUAGAGAUCCACAAGAUGUUUUGAGGUACGACACGUACGUGCCCAAUGCCCUUUCAUUCCACAUCUGAAGUAACUUUAUUCAUGCUCCUUUUUAGAUUUGCCACUCUCAUUUACUUUGUGCCUUUUGAAUUUAUUGUCUUGUUGUUGAUAACUUUGUUGAUUAUUUUUUCCAUGAUUUAUUCCACCUACAUGUCCGUGUCCGUGUCCACGUCUACAUCUACGUCCACGUCUGCGUCUUGAUAUUGUAUUUGCUUCAGACAAUGUAGUACCAUUUGCUUCAAGCAAUGGUACAGAACCAGUUGGACGUAAUCCAUGAUUUUUCAUCAACAAUUCAUUAUUUUGUUCAGCAACUAGUAGGCAAGAUAUAAGUUCUGAGUACUUUUUGAUGCCACGCUCACGAUAUUGCUGCCGCAGGAGCACAUUUGAGGCAUGAAAGGUGGAGAAAGUUUUUUCCAGCAUAUCUUCAUCGGUGAUUUUUCCUCCACACAAAGUUAACUUUGAACAUAUUCUAAACAAUUCAAAGUUGUACUCACUAACCGUUUUAAAGUCUUGCAAACGAAGGUGCAUCCACUCAUAACGGGCUUUGGGGAGGACCAUUGUCCUCUGAUGAUCAAAUCUUUCAGUUAACUUUUUCCAAAGAACUCGUGAAUCUUUUUCAAUGAGAUAUUCAAUUUUUAAUCCAUUGUGAAGAUGGUGAUGGAGGAAAAUGAGUGCUUUUGCACGAUCCUAUAGGGAUUCAUUGUUUCCUUCUUUUAUUGUCUCUCCCAAACCCUUUGAGACGAGAUGUAUAUCAGCAUCCAGUAUCCAUGACAGAUAAUUUUUAUUAGAUAUGUCAAGUGCAACAAACUCAAAUUUCGUAAUGUUCGCCAUUUGUUUAACUACACAAUAAAAAAAUACAAUUAGUUUCGAAAAAUAUGAUUAAUCAUCAUAUGUUAGUCAAAUAGUAAAUAUCAACAUGACUUUAAGUUACGUGUUUUCCUCUAGGGAUAAACACUAAUUUGAAAUAAUAUAUUUUUCAAAACAUAUGCUACUUCUGGAGCACAUUAUAUUUUGCUAUUAUUUCUUCAAGUGCAAUAUGUCAAUAUUCUUUUGGAAUAUUGAGAGUUAUUAUUUAUGCUCUUCAAGAGCAAAUAAUAAUCUUAUAAUAUUGUGCUACUUCUGGAGCAACAACGAAUAGAUCUGUGAUUAAUAUUCUUCUGGAAUAUUAAUUAUAAUGUUGUGCUACUUCAAGAGCAAUAACAAUUAAAAAUAAAUUUAAUGUAAUGCUUCAUAACUAAACAUAAAAAAAAAGAUAAUACAUCCAAUUGUUCACCAUUAAUUAAUAUACAAACAUAUGUAAAAUAUUAUUUUGAAUUAAUAACGUGAGUCGAGUGAAACACGAAAAAAAUUGGUGACAUGUAAAAACCUAUUCACAUAUUAUGGCACGAAAUUCUAAUUAUGUGCAAUUAAAAGAAUUGAAUUAGUAUUAACCAAUUAAGGCAUGAAAUUUGCAGAAACCAAUGGAUUUGAGAGAAAAGAUGAGUUGGGUACAGUUAUUUGUUAAUUAUAUAUUUUAUAUAUAUAUGGAAUCAGCCAAAAUAAAGAUCUAGAGUUGAAGCUUGCUUACAAAGAACAUUGACCAAUUAAACAAAAAAAAUUAUAAGCAUGUUUAAAACGUAAAGGGCUAAUCUAAAUAUAAGAAGGGUAUAUGAACAUGAAUUAAUGCAUAUCAAUUGAUUUAACAUAAAUAUAUCUCCAUAAAAAUGCACGUGGAUUGAUGUAAAGGAAAAAAUAUUAAUUAAUUCAAAGAGAGGUACAAAGAAAACAUAAUGAUCGAGAAAGAUGAGAUCACGUAUUGAAGAUUCAACAUAUGUAUAUGUAAAAUUCACGUAUUAUCAAAUUAAUUUUGAUAUACAUGAUAGAUGAUUAUGAAAAAAAUUACUACUUUCUAAGAGUUUCCUACUGAUAACGUGUUAUAAAAUGAGAGGAAAAGAGAAUAGAGAAAGCUCAAAGAGAAUAGAGAAAACUCAAUAAACUUUUUGGGUGUAUUAUUGAAAACUAAAGCCCUAUAUUUAUAGGUAAGAAUCAGGGAUACAAUGGUAAUAAUUUCUAGGGCUACAGGGGUAUAAAUGUCAUUCACCAAUAAACUUUAAUGGACUUUCCAUUUACAAUAGGAAGAAGGUUUUGUUGAUAAAUUAGUUAUUAGAAAAGAGAUUAGAAAGUGGGAUUAUCUUCAAUUGAUCAAAAGAAUAUUUGGGAAAUUCAUUCGAGCAUCAACCAAUUUUAGUUAAGUAUUAUAGAAGUAGAUCUUAAAGUUUCUUAAUUUAAUAGUGGUUGAUUAGUCAUCUUGUUAUGUAUUCUAAGUGGUGACGAGGAGAUUGGAAGAGCCUAUCGACUAUCUUAGGUUCAGCUUGUAUUAUGUGAGUGGAUAAGCUUAUUUUUCAGAAAUUAGUAUUUAUUUAAUUUAUGUUAACUCAGAAAAUUUAUUAAUUCAUAUAGUAGAUUUGACAACACGAUUUUCAGCCAAUUGUUUUUAAAAGUUAAAUUCAAUUUAGUAAAUCAUUUUAUUAGCAUGUUAUAUGAGUAUUAAAUGUUUCUGCAUAUUUAAAGUUGUUUUCUAAAAAUCACCAGAAAGUACCCAAGUGAUUUUACCCUCGUUUGCCCUAGUGUGAAUGUGUUUCCACAGUGAAUAACUUCAUAUGGUUAUUUUACUCACUCUGCGCUGGUGUGAAUAUGUUUCCACGGCGUAUGAUCAGUAUAGUGAUUUUACCCGCUCUGCACUAUUGUGAAUGUGUUUCCAUAGUGUAUGACCAUUUUAUUGCUCUGCGCAUGUACGACCAAAAUUUUAGAAUUACAGGAUUACAAAAUUGAAUAACCUUGCUAUGUAUAUCGAGAUUAAUCGAUACACGAGUAUGGUUAUUCCGAGUACAUUUUUUGUGUGAUGUUUCAGUAUUACAUAACUUAUCAGAUUUUAGAAAUGCAGUAUACAGAAUAAAGAUGUUUAUGAUUACAGUAUAUUUUAGUUUUGAUAGUAUUAUCAAAUUUUAAGCUACAGAAUUCAGCUUAUUCAGUUUAAAGAAUAAAUAUUUUAGUUUAUAUGUCCGUGAAAAGAAAAUUUAUGCUAUAUGUCGGUUUUCAGAAAGAUUUUAUGAAUGGAAAAGUAUACUUUUACAAAUAUCCACUCACUGAGUCGCAAGCUCAUAUUUUUGCCACCUAAUUUCUUAUCAGAUAGAAGCUGCAUUGAGCCAUAUCGGAGCCUGUUGAUCGACGAGUUGAACUACAUCGUGUCAUUAUUUGUAUGUCUCAUCUUGUUAAUUCAUACAACACAUAUUUUCUGGGAUUGAUGUAUUUUGUGUCGGAAAACGUAUUAAGUCACUAGCUCAUUGUAUAUUUUGUGUAUGUUUUGAAAUGAAGUUGUUUGGUGGUAAAGAAGGGUAAAUUUCUUUUUCAGUACUACUACUUUGAAGAAUUGGUAUUUUGAGGGGUCGGUGUACCCUGUUUUAAACUAUAUGUACAUGUUUGGGAUA